GACGAACGCUGGCGGCGUGCUUAACACAUGCAAGUCGAACGGAAAGGCCCUGCUUUUGUGGGGUGCUCGAGUGGCGAACGGGUGAGUAACACGUGAGUAACCUGCCCUUGACUUUGGGAUAACUUCAGGAAACUGGGGCUAAUACCGGAUAGGAGCUCCUGCUGCAUGGUGGGGGUUGGAAAGUUUCGGCGGUUGGGGAUGGACUCGCGGCUUAUCAGCUUGUUGGUGGGGUAGUGGCUUACCAAGGCUUUGACGGGUAGCCGGCCUGAGAGGGUGACCGGCCACAUGGGGACUGGGAUACGGCCCGGACUCUUACGGAGGCAGCAGUGGGGAAUAUUGCACAAUGGGCGGAAGCCUGAUGCAGCAACGCCGCGUGCGGGAUGACGGCCUUCGGGUUGUAAACCGCUUUCGCCUGUGACGAAGCGUGAGUGACGGUAAUGGGUAAAGAAGCACCGGCUAACUACGUG
rnacentral:rRNA from 1 species